GAUGAAGAACGUAGCGAAAUGCGAUACGUAAUGUGAAUUGCAAAUUCAGUGAAUCAUCGAAUCUUUGAACGCACAUUGCGCCCGCCAGUAUUCUGGCGGGCAUGCCUGUCCGAGCGUCAUUUCAACCCUCGAACCCCUCCGGGGGGUCGGCGUUGGGGACCUCGGGAGCCCCUAAGACGGGAUCCCGGCCCCGAAAUACAGUGGCGGUCUCGCCGCAGCCUCUCCUGCGCAGUAGUUUGCACAACUCGCACCGGGAGCGCGGCGCGUCCACGUCCGUAAAACACCCAACUUCUGAAAUGUUGACCUCGGAUCAGGUAGGAAUACCCGCUGAACUUAAGCAUAUCAAUAAGCGGAGGA
rnacentral:misc_RNA from 1 species